rnacentral:lncRNA from 1 species
GGCAACGUGGCCCCAGGAACCCCACGUUCAUCAGUGCUCAGCAUUGGCUAAGCCUCUACUAGGAUUGGGCUUGCAUCAGACAGAUGCUUCCAGGCUGGGUCACAAAUCCUCCCCUCUUGCUGGGGUUCCAUAGAUCCCAGUGCCCGCAACGUGCACAGCUCCUCAUCCCUGAGGCCAGCAGAGACCCCAGGAGGGAUCUGCUGCCUGACGACCAGCUGACCCCUCACCAUGUGUAGACCGGCAGCCUGGUGAGGGCAGCUCCAGCUGGAGGCGGCUCUGGGAACAGCUCCAGGAUGAAGCUAGCCCCGAGUGCUAGCUGGUGACGCUGCCUUCCACGGAGGCCCCACCCAGCACAGUCUGAAGGGAGAAGGGAGCAUCUGGAACGAAGCAGAAUAGUGCCUCCUACCCCCACCGUUGGCAGGGCAGGCCUCCCUCAUUCCUGCCUUCCACUCUGCUUGGGAGCCUGGGCCCACCUCCCUCACCACCCAUCGUUUGAGCUGCACCUGUGGCUGGUCUCAUGACACAUGGAUUCCAAGCCUGCACACCCUGCGUUGGACAGGAGAUUGCCUGCUGAGUGGGCACCCACACCUGCACUCAGACCCUGCCUACCACCAGUCUCCCACGCCCACGGCCCAGCCUGCCAGUGCCCAAACACUGCUGGUUCUUCACCAUCCCAGGGCCUUUGCACCUGCUGUUCUUUCAACCUGGAAUGCCUGUCCUGUUCCUACCUACCUGGCAGUUCUCAGCCAUCCCUGAGGACUCACUCUCAACCCAGGCCCCCCAGCCUGCCAAGACACAGUCUCCCCUCCUGAUCCAGGAGAGAGAGGACCCCGCCCAGACUCUGGCCUAACACCUGUGCUUUUUGUCUGUCCUUCACCCUCUCCUGGUGCACCACGUGGCAGGGCCAUAUCUGAUUCCCUUUGUGGCCUAGGUCCUGAGGGCUCUGGGCCAGCCUGGCCAGGAUUGGGAUCCCCACCAGCUGUGUGGUUUGGUAAGUCACUUACUUCUCAGAGCAGCGGUCUGCACCUAAAGACCUUCCUGAUGGAGCCAAGGGGGCUGAGCAGGACGGCCUGACACAAAAGCCACCCCAGAAGGCACUGCCUUUCUUGUUGGCAUUAUUGGCAUGAGGGCAGUUUAACAAACACCAGUGCAGGGCGGACGCGUGGAGGUACAGGGCCCGGUGGGGGAGCUGAGAGCAGCUCUGUGGCUUUCUGCCACAGUUUCGAGUCUUGGAUGUCCUGUGGGCA